rnacentral:lncRNA from 1 species
AUGGAGCGAUGGAUCAUCAUCAUAUCGUUGAUUUUUGCACUGAUUACCAUGUGUGAGGGUACUAUUUGUGGAAUUAUCAAUGGCUUGGUUCCAAAGUCGGAUGUUCUCGUUCAUUGUAAAUCCAAAGAAGACGAUCUUGGCGUUCACCUAAUUCACUACAAUGCUACCUAUGAGUUUGAAUUCAAGCCCAACAUUUGGGGAACUACACAAUUCUACUGCAGCUUUACGUGGCCAUCCCGAAUUGAAUGGUUCGACAUUUACAAACACCAGAGGGAUGAACUGUUGUAUUGUUUGUGGAUGGUCAAGCCUGACGGUCCAUGUAGGUACAAUCGUGUCCUCAAGAGCUUUGCUGAUUGGUAUAAAUGGAACAACAAAAUUUGA